rnacentral:misc_RNA from 1 species
AACGUAGGGGGCGAGCGUUGUCCGGGAUUAUUGGGCGUAAAGCGCGCGCAGGCGGUUCUUUAAGUCGGAUGUGAAAGCCCACGGCUCAACCGUGGAGGGUCAUUGGAAACUCGGGAACUUGAGUGCAGAAGAGGAAAGUGGAAUUCCACGUGUAGCGGUGAAAUGCGUAGAGAUGUGGAGGAACACCAGUGGCGAAGGCGACUUUCUGGUCUGUAACUGACACUGAGGCGCGAAAGCGUGGGGAGCGAACAGG